GCCUGGGUGGCUCAGUAGGUUGAGCGUCCGACUUCAAAUCAGGUCAUGAUCUCACGGUUUGUGGGUUCGAGCCCCGCGUCGGGCU
rfam:Felis catus isolate Cinnamon breed Abyssinian chromosome B3, whole genome shotgun sequence.